rnacentral:rRNA from 1 species
CCUACGGGUGGCAGCAGUGAGGAAUAUUGGUCAAUGGCCGAGAGGCUGAACCAGCCAAGUCGCGUGAGGGAAGACGGCCCUACGGGUUGUAAACCUCUUUUGUCGGGGAGCCAAGCGAGUCACGUGUGACUCAUUGAGAGUACCCGAAGAAAAAGCAUCUGCUCACUCCGUGCCAGCAGCCGCGGUAAUACGGAGGAUGCGAGCGUUAUCCGGAUUUAUUGGGUUUAAAGGGUGCGCAGGCGGAGGUGCAAGUCAGCGGUCAAAUUGCGGGGCUCAACCCCGUACUGCCGUUGAAACUGGGGUGCUUGAGUAUGUUUGAGGCAGGCGGAAUGCGUGGUGUAGCGGUGAAAUGCUUAGAUAUCACGCAGAACCCCGAUUGCGAAGGCAGCCUGCCAAGCCAUGACUGACGCUGAUGCACGAAAGCGUGGGGAUCAAACAGGAUUAGAUACCCGAGUAGUC